ACAAAAUUCCACUUCUUUUCUUCCCUUACUCUCCACGUAUAAACCAGGAAGGAGUUCCUUCCUUCCUUCCCUAAAAUCAGUCCAAAUACACUCCUUGGACCCCAAGCUAUGCAUCUUCACCUUCACUCUUCUUAGUUUUAAAAUCAGACAACAAAUUUCCACUUGUUUCCCAACCAAAAUCAAUUCACAAAAAACUGAAAACCAUCCCCCCCUUGUUCCUCCAUCGUUCGAACCACCACCAACAACAACCACCUCAACCACUGACUACCAUCACCACUACCACCGUCCAACAACCACCUCAACCACCCUGACCACCGUCGGCCCCCAGCACCACCGCACACACACCCCACUGUAGCUCCCUUCCCCUGCUCCCUCCUCUCCUUGCGCCUCCCCUGCCUCUUCCUCUUUCCUCUUCGCUGCACCGCCCACGACAACCACCACCACCUCCAGCCACCCUCAUCAUCUCUCCAACCAACCUCCGCCCCUAAAACUCCGGCGAACCACCCUUCCCCUUCCCAAAAUCCCGAUCGAAAAACCCACCAAUCCCCUGUUUUGUCACCCAUUUCGUGCCCCUUUCUCUCUCUCCGUCGUCGUCCCUCCGCCGCCAACCACCAAUCCCCACCGUCACCAUCACCGUCGAAAUAUCCGGCGAACUCAACCCAGCCAGCUGCCACCCUCUCUCCUCCCUUCGUGCUCCCUUGUGCCUUGCUCCCCUCCCCUGUUCGUGCCCCUCUUUUCAAAAAAAAAGAAAAAAAGAAAAGAGAAUCAGUUUCACUUAAACGUGAUUUUUAUUCACCUCAAACCCCUCCAUGAGUUGGGCUAUUUCAAUUUGGGCCUUUGGUGAGAAUUUGGACUCGGAGCUCAGGACGAACGAACCAAGGAAAAUCCUUAGCAAAAUCGUGGAAGUGAGGUACUGAUGGGGACGAUGGACACGAGUAGUGGCGAGGAUUUCACUUUAAUAAUUCCCACCUAGUUUAUGUUUUAAGUUUUAAUAGUUAAUUAAAGAUUUUUAGUAAGUUAUGUACUUUUACUUUGGGUAUUAUAAAGGAUUAUUAUAUAUGUUUGGAGUAAUUAACAGCUUAUGAUUGAUGUUCGCCUUGUAAUUUCCAAAAGGAAGUUACGGCAGGUAAUGUCCCGACCGAAUUAGGUUAAUUCCGCUGCUAAUUAUGCUUUAAUAAUUGGAUUAGAGGUCGGGGUGUUACAGUUUGGUAUCAAGAGCAAAGGUUCUGGACCAUAAGUGCUAAACCUUACGGGUUUUCGCACGAAUAGAAUUCAUUAGGCUUUAAGUAAAGAGUUUUAAGGAAUGAGUUAAAAAGAACUUUCUAAAAUCAUGUUACUUAAGUUAAAAUGAAUAUGAGUGUGAGUGUAGGAACGGGAUGAACGGGUUUAUUUUCUAUGAUUUAUUUGCUUCCAUUUGUUGAGACAUGUUAUGUUGAAUGUUGCUUAUCAAGACUAUGAAUGAUGUCCCCAAGGGCUCGCAACGAGCACCAUGAUAACCACAUUAUGCACUAGGACUAUGCCAUAUCGAUGCAGUUAUGAAUGUUUUAUUUUCUAGUAGAGAAAUUGUGACAUAGAAAUUGUCCAAUGAUGUUAGAGAAAUGUGAGUUUUAUUAUCCGUUGACCUAUCUAGAUUUGAUUUAGUUUUCGGAAUGAAUUGGUUGAAUGAAUAUGAAGCUAACAUCAAUUGUUUGAGGCAUAGUGGCAAAUAAGGAUAGGAUUUCAUCCCAAAAGUUAGUGAAGAAAACCAAUUGUCGCUGUUUUGAAAACCCCUAGUGACCGAUGGUGAGUUUUUCUGGUUAUCCUUGUAGUGUUGUCGAUCACGUACCCAUCACCGAUACAGCUAUCGUCUGAGAAUAGGCAAAUGUUUUCUAGAAGAGAAACAUAGUAUGCCCCGACCGAGAGAAUUAAACUUUAGCAUUAAAGUAAUCACAAGACCCACCCUUAUUCUUAAAGGACCUAUAGAAUGACUCCAACUGAGUUGCAAAGAAUUGAAGAAACAAUUAAAUGAUUUACUUGGAUAGGGGUAUAUUCAACUGAGUGAUUCACUUUUGGGGAGCCCUGUCAUAUUUAUGAGGAAAAAUGAUGAAACAUCGAGGUUAUGUAUAGAUUAUAGAGAGUUGGACAAAAAUAAAUAUCCUUUAUUCCGCAUUGAUGAUUUGUUUGACCAACUUCGAAGUACAUAAGUAUUUUCAAGAAUAGAUUUGAGGUCGUGAUACUAUGAACUUUGCAUUAAACUUGAGGAUAUUCCAAGAACAACCUUUAGAACCAACUAUGGUCACCAUGAGUUUGUUGUAAUACCUUUUGGGUUAACUAAUGCAUCAGCUGUAUUUAUGGAUUUAAUGAACCACAUUUUCAAACCAUACCUUGAUGAGUUUGUAGUUGUUUCCAUUGAUGAUAUUUUGGUACCUUCUAAGAGUAAUGAGGAACACGAGGAGCAUCGGAGAAAAGUGUUAGAUAUGUUGAUUGAAAACCAAUUAUGUGCUAAGUUGUCAAAGUGUAAAUUCUGGCUUAAGGAAAUAUCGUUUUUAGGUCAUAUUAUUUCUGAGAAGGGUGUAUCUGUUGAUCAUGAGAAAGUAAAAGCAAUCGUGGAAUACCCUAGACCAACCAAUGUCCCUGAAGUAUGAAAUUUUAUGGGUUUGGCUGAAGAUUAUCGAAAACUUAUUUAAGAUUUCUCUAAGGUUGCCUUACCCACAAUCCGAUUGGUUAAAAAGAAUGUCAAAUUUAUGGGGAAUGAUGAUUGUAAAUCUGCAAUUUGAGAACUUAAGAGACGUAUCACAAUUUCCUAUAUCCUUGCCUUCCAUCUGGAACUAAGAGAUUUGUUACUUAUAUUAAUACUUCUAAACAUGGAAUAUGAUGUGUAGAAAUGGAACAGGAAGGUCAUAGAUGAUCCUCUCGCCAACUCCAAGUUCUUGAAUAGAACUACCUUACUUAUGAUCUUGAUAUACAAUACCCUACAAGAAAAACUAAUGUUAUUAUAGAUGCUUGAGUCAAAAUCUUACCUAAAUUCGAUCCUACCUUUCUACGAGCCAACCAAGAUGAUCUGUAAAACCUAGAAGUUAAGUUGUUAAGAAUAAAGGAAAUGUUUGUUUAAAUGCUUUAAGUCAGUACCGUGACCAACUUUGAUUGAUGAGACUAAGGAAAUAUUUGUUAUGAAAGUCAAGUUCCUUAAGGAUAAAGGAAACGUUUGCUUGAAUGCGAGGCCAACUUUGAAUUAUGAGAUUAGGAAAGCACAAAUUAAGGAUUUGCAAUAGGAACAAAUGAUCGUUGUGGAAGUCAUGACCAUUAGGUUCGAGAUUAUUCUGAGUUAUCACCAUCAGCUACACGUACUAAAAGAUCGUCUAUUGACAGCGAACAUAGAACCAAUGACAUUGUUAGCAUGCUUCAGAAACCCAUGAUUGGAGUAGAUUCUAUGACAAAACCACAUGAAAAAGGCAGAAACGUUAUCAAUGGUCCUUGUAAUUCUCUUUUCUAAUUAUUAUGUAUGAUACUCGUUGAUAUUCCUUCAUUUAUUAUUUGUCAUAUACGUUCAGAGCUUGUACCAAAUAGGAUGAUAUGUGUAGAUUGUUGAGUAUUAGGUAACCUAAAGAAGUCCAGGCAUAUUGGAAUGAUGUGAUGUGAGGAUGAUAGGUUAACAACUAUGAGAAAUAUUGACAGUUAAUCGUGGAAAAAGGAGGGUAGAUUUCUACAAUGACUAAGAGACAAAAGAUUGAAGUUGAAAGCUUAUCAGACAGUUACGGAAGGGAAAUUUUACUUGCCUAAGUGCCCAAAUAUAUUUCGAGAAGGAAACAUGAUAGACCUCUAAUAAGAGAACAAGACUUUAGAUUCCAAUGAGAUGAGAUGAGUUAAUUUGAGGAAAUCAUUUUAAGAAUGAUAACAUGAAAAUGUUACCUUGGGAACCCCGAUCUUAUGUGCAAGAAACAACAAUGUAUGAGUAUUAUAGAGGAUCAAGAUAAGUUACCAUUAUGUGUCAUAUAUCCGGUAUCAAUGGAAUUAGUGUAAAAGUAUUUUUGAAGGUUCGUUGAGCUAUUAAAAAUAUACUAGAGGUUGUAAACCAAAUACCAUAAAGUUAACUAAAAUUAUCUUGGGAUUAUCAAUUGUAUGUGAGAUCUUGAUGAAUCAUAUUUAAGACCCGUGCUUCGAUACAUUUAGUAAAACUACUUAUGGAUAGUUUAAGAAUUAUGGAGAACUCUAAGGAACAAAUUUGAGGAAAAUACAGGAGUUCGCGAAGUUUUGAAAUAUGUCAAGUUGGCAAGAAAGUAGUUUAGAGGGCUAUGAAAUGGUAAUCUAGGGUGAACAACCUAGACUAAUCUAUGCUAAAGUAUUUACCGCAUAUUUUGAGUAUAUGUAAAGACCUCAACCAGGCUAUGUUCAAGGAUCGAGUCACGUGAUUUGGGUUGAGCCCUCCAUUGUUGAAAGAAUUUGACUUAGGAGAGAGAAUGUUGAACAUCAUUGUGUUAGAGUGAAAUCAAAGAAAUGCAUGUUGAGGGACUAAAGGAUGAUUGAUAUGCCUCUAUUAAGGAAGCUAAGAAGUUAUCAAUAAUUGGUCUAUCAAUAAGGUUGAAUGAUAAAGUACCGAAAGAGCGUGAGUUUGUAUUUUAUAAGUGGUGAAUCACAAAUCAAAUCAAGGUUAUUCAAGGUUGCAAAGCGUUCAAGUUAGGGUUGAUUUUCGAGUUACCUUUCCGCACCCUUCACAAUGAUUGUUUUUGUGGUUGUAAGUACCUAAGUGUAUUCUCAGAUAUGUUAGGGAAGCUAAGCUAGAAAUUUUAAAGUUAUGCAAGAAUAGUAUGCGGGACCCAACAUGAUUUAUGGUGAAAAUUAUGAAAUUGAGUUUACACAUGAAGCUUUGAGGAUUGUACAACAAAUAAGUUAUCAAGAAUUAAUUUGUCAAUAGGGUUGAUGAUAUCAUUGAAUGUUAGAAUUUCGAAAAGAAUUAUGAAUGAUUGAGGGUUGCAAUGGAAUUGAGAUUAGAAAAUCCACAAAUGACAUAUCUAUAGGACCAGGUAGGCUGAACUAAGUUUUCUGGGAGCUAGAUUGUUUGUGAUAAAGGCACUCUUGAUGGCUUAGCAUUAUCCGCAAAAUCUGAGGUUUGUCGACUUAAAAUAUAAAGGAUAAGUAGCAAAGUCAUAUGUCUAAUGAUGUAUUCCUAGUCACAUGAUUGGACUCGAACCCCUGCAACGAACGUAGUCAACAAAGUUAUUUAACGUAGAAGAAAAGAUCGAAGAUCGAAUUCAAAACAAACCAAGUAAUGAAAGUCAACGACAAGAUUCCUGCAGCAAAGGAGCCCAAUAACAAAUGAAAGCGAAACAUCUUCAAAUAGUCACCUAAGAACGAAAUUAUGUACGAAUCACUAUGUUUUCCGUGAAUAUGUAAUGUAUCAACCAUGCUUAUGCGUGAAAUCAAAUGAUUGGUUAUGAUAUGUUUUCAAUUAGUGAAUGACGAAUAAAACGGUUAAAUAUGACUCGUAUGAUUUUAUGAAUGGCAAGUUCGACUGAGCUCCAGUUUCGAGGACGAAACUUUUUCGAAGGGGGUGAGA